GAUGAAGAACGCAGCGAACGUGCGAAACGUAAUGUGAAUUGCAGAAUUCAGUGAAUCAUCGAAUCUUUGAACGCAUCUUGCGCUCCUUGGUAUUCCGAGGAGCAUGCCUGUUUGAGUGUCGUGAAUACUCUCAACUUCAACCCUUUUUUCGGAAAGGGAGGAAGGUUGGACUUGGGUGUUUGUUGAAGUGCGAGCUUCGACUCAUCCUAAAUGCAUUAGCGAUCUGCCUCGAUCACACACAAUGUGAUAAUUAAAACUAAAGCAUUGUUUAAUGAUCAAGUCGAGACUGCUUCUAACUGUCGCAAGACAAUAACGUGCAUACAUUUGUGCAUGUCAUUUGACCUCAAAUCAGGUAGGACUACCCGCUGAACUUAAGCAUAUCAAUAACGGAGGA
rnacentral:misc_RNA from 1 species